GUAAAACAGUCUUGAAAUACAAAAAACUGUUUCGAUUCCCAACAACAACAAUAGGAAUAUUUCCUUUUUUAUUACAACAUGUUUGAAUCGUUAUCUAUCGUGUAGUUGUCCAAUUUUCAAUCAUAUGCCACCAACAAUGUCGGAUUAACUGGACUUGACUGUAUAAGGCUACAGCAAUUUAAUUCCUUGGAUUACAGAAUCCCCUAUCACUUUGGAAAAAAUGUAUGAAUUGUUCACUAGAAGUUAAAAUUUUGCUAUGAAUUUCUAUUAAGUAAAAGAUGUUGCCAUAAAAUGAAAAAUGGAUCUGAAUCUAUGUAUUUAUACUCUCCCAUCAAAAUCAAAAUUGUUUUCUUUUUUUCUCUUACUGCUUUUAAGGUUUUGGAUGAAAAUAACCCAUAAUCCAUGUACAUAAAUUGAUGAUGAUGCCUAAGGAAAAUUAUUUACAAUUUAUUUUGUUAUCAAAAUUUCAUUUAUUUCAUAUACAUAAUGUGAAGAAUGACAUUCCUAUUUGAUUCCAGAAUAAUAUAAACAUGCUGCAUAAAUACUACAUCCCAGUGGAUGAAGAAUAACUUUAGCAUAUAUAUCAUGAUAUAAAAUUUAAAACAGUAUCAAAUUUGAAUAACUUGGGUAUAUUGAUGACUAUAACAACAGAUAUAGAUUUACACACUGUACAUAUACAAAAUCAAUAGAGGAAAUAGGAUACAAAGUUCAAUUGAUGAGAUAUGAAAGAAUGACAAAAUUCAUUUAAUUAUUUACAGGUGGUGGUCCAGCUGGACCUGAAUUGUCGACAGUUGCCGAGGUUGUUCAAAACAUCCUGGGACGUGAUAACACUACCAUAAGUGGAUUGGAUGGCUUUGAUUCAUUCCCUGAACAUGCCAGUACAACAAGUGCUCCGGAGUCUGGGUCCUCAUACCAGAACCCAAUCAACAUCACACUCUCGGCCAUCACCAGUGCCAGCCACACCAGCAGCUGUGUGCUGGAUGACUACAUUCCUCUGGAAUUUCACACACCUGUUCAGGUGCUCAGCCCUUUAGGAACUCUCUAUAAGGGAAAAGAGAGAAAGAUUAGAAAUUGAAGUGCUUGAACUCCAGAAGGAGUAUUACAGUCUCAAGAUAAAGAAAUUAAAAAGCAAAUAACUGAUAUUGUAUUUUACACAAGAUUAUAGGUCAAAGCAUGGUUCUUUGAUAAUUGUUUAUAGUUAAUUUAUUGAUUUCUUAAGGUUGCAAUAUUGAUAUUUCAUAACCCAUUGAAAUAAGUCACAGUUGGUACCGGAUUAAUAUUAAUGAUCGAUGUAACUACAAUUUGGCUGAGAUUGUUCUAUAUAUCUACAAAAAGUGUAUAUAGUAUAUAUAUAUGAAUAUUAGUAAAAUCAUGCUCCUUUU